rnacentral:lncRNA from 1 species
CUGUGCAGAGGGCAAUAUUGAAGAAGCUUAAUGAGCUGGACAUGAAGAUUAACCAUCUAACUUCAGUGGUCCAGUCUCUUGCUUCGGCCAAGUGUUCAAAUGGUGGUGGACAUUGAGAAUUACAUCUUUCCUAUUGAAACAAUGGAAGACCUUGAACAACUGGAAAAGGCAAUUAGCCGAAAAUCCAAUGAUGGAAAAGAUGAUAAAGAGGUUAUCCAUCAGAGGAGGACAAACUCUAAAAA